UACGAAGGGGGCUAGCGUUGCUCGGAAUCACUGGGCGUAAAGCGCACGUAGGCGGCUUUCUAAGUCAGGGGUGAAAUCCUGGAGCUCAACUCCAGAACUGCCUUUGAUACUGGGAAGCUCGAGUCCGGAAGAGGCGAGUGGAAUUCCUGGUGUAGCGGUGAAAUGCGCAGAUAUCAGGAGGAACACCAAUGGCGAAGGCAGCUCGCUGGGACGGUACUGACGCUGAGACGCGAAAGCGUGGGGAGCAAACAGG
rnacentral:rRNA from 1 species